UACCCCAAUGUAGAGCAAUCUUUUGAAAUCUGUUUCAUUGUUACCAACUAAAGUUCUUAUCGUCCUUUCGUGAUAAACUUUAACAUCGCCCUUCUUACUCUUUUGCCACUUCCGAUAGACUCCAAUCUGAACACGAAGCACAGCACAUUCAAUCCAGUGUUUGCAUGGUGGCAAUACCAUCCCUAGAUAUCUAAGGAGUAUUCCAGUGAUUCAGUUUUAAGAAAUCUUGUUUCUUAUGAGUUGCAACUGCUUGGUGGUACUGCAACAUAACUUUGUGGCAGUUGGCUGAUGAUUUUCCCCUCGUUUCUCUAUUCUUGUUUGUUCUGUGUGUCAGCGCUGAUAGCUGAUUCUCUCUGUUGCCUGUACGGGAGGAACCCCUAUAUUCUUUCACCAACUUGCCAUGAUAGUCUUUAAUCAGAACAUGCAAUUCACGUUUUCCAGUGUUUUGCAUGGUGGCAGUACCAUCCUUGGAUAUCCAAGGAGUCUAGUAAUACUUCAAUUUUAAGAAAUCUGUCUGAGUGCAAAAUUCUUCUUGUCCCUUUUCAAAUUAUCUAUAAUCGUUCUGUACCUGACUCCCUUCCCAUUCAUCAUCUCGACUAAUGCUGUCAUUCAUUAGCCAUGCACAUUCUUAGGUGACUACGUUUCUGUGAAUGGUAAGUAGGUAGGUAGAUAGUCAUGGCAGCUCUUUGUAAAUAAUUAAUUUCUGCUUAUGAGUUGGCAACUGCUCGCAAGAUGACUUUGCGGCUACUGUUAAUGCAAUUUUUGUUGGUGAGUUGUGCCCCUUGUAAAUAGAGAACAUGGGUGCUGAAAAUUUGUGGCAAUCGGCUGGUGAUUCACCAACUUGUUUUUUUUGGGGUCUGUUCUGCGUGUUGUGGUAAGGUGUGUGGCCUUCUCUUUUCACUGAAUGUGGAAUUUGACAGUUUUCCGCUGUGCAAUGUGAAAUUGUUUCAUUGUACUCGUAACUUUGCGAGAAA
rnacentral:lncRNA from 1 species